rnacentral:rRNA from 1 species
UUAAGCGACUAAGCGUACACGGUGGAUGCCCUGGCAGUCAGAGGCGAUGAAGGGCGUGCUAAUCUGCGAUAAGCGCCGGUAAGGUGAUAUGAACCGUUAUAACCGGCGAUACCCGAAUGGGGAAACCCAGUGUGACUCGUCACACUAUCAUUAACUGAAUCCAUAGGUUAAUGAGGCGAACCGGGGGAACUGAAACAUCUAAGUACCCCGAGGAAAAGAAAUCAACCGAGAUUCCCCCAGUAGCGGCGAGCGAACGGGGAGGAGCCCAGAGCCUGAAUCAGCAUAUGUGUUAGUGGAAGCGUCUGGAAAGGCGCGCGAUACAGGGUGACAGCCCCGUACACAAAAGCGCAUGUGCUGUGAGCUCGAUGAGUAGGGCGGGACACGUGGUAUCCUGUCUGAAUAUGGGGGGACCAUCCUCCAAGGCUAAAUACUCCUGACUGACCGAUAGUGAACCAGUACCGUGAGGGAAAGGCGAAAAGAACCCCGGCGAGGGGAGUGAAAAAGAACCUGAAACCGUGUACGUACAAGCAGUGGGAGCACCCUUUGGGGUGUGACUGCGUACCUUUUGUAUAAUGGGUCAGCGACUUAUAUUCUGUAGCAAGGUUAACCGAAUAGGGGAGCCGGAGGGAAACCGAGUCUUAAUUGGGCGUUAAGUUGCAGGGUAUAGACCCGAAACCCGGUGAUCUAGCCAUGGGCAGGUUGAAGGUUGGGUAACACUAACUGGAGGACCGAACCGACUAAUGUUGAAAAAUUAGCGGAUGACCUGUGGCUGGGGGUGAAAGGCCAAUCAAACCGGGAGAUAGCUGGUUCUCCCCGAAAGCUAUUUAGGUAGCGCCUCGUGAAUUCAUCUCCGGGGGUAGAGCACUGUUUCGGCUAGGGGGCCAUCCCGGCUUACCAACCCGAUGCAAACUGCGAAUACCGGAGAAUGUUAUCACGGGAGACACACGGCGGGUGCUAACGUCCGUCGUGAAGAGGGAAACAACCCAGACCGCCAGCUAAGGUCCCAAAGUCAUGGUUAAGUGGGAAACGAUGUGGGAAGGCCCAGACAGCCAGGAUGUUGGCUUAGAAGCAGCCAUCAUUUAAAGAAAGCGUAAUAGCUCACUGGUCGAGUCGGCCUGCGCGGAAGAUGUAACGGGGCUAAACCAUGCACCGAAGCUGCGGCAGCGACGCUGAUGCGUUGUUGGGUAGGGGAGCGUUCUGUAAGCCUGCGAAGGUGGCCUGUGAGGGUUGCUGGAGGUAUCAGAAGUGCGAAUGCUGACAUAAGUAACGAUAAAGCGGGUGAAAAGCCCGCUCGCCGGAAGACCAAGGGUUCCUGUCCAACGUUAAUCGGGGCAGGGUGAGUCGACCCCUAAGGCGAGGCCGAAAGGCGUAGUCGAUGGGAAACGGGUUAAUAUUCCCGUACUUGGUGUUACUGCGAAGGGGGGACGGAGAAGGCUAUGUUGGCCGGGCGACGGUUGUCCCGGUUUAAGCGUGUAGGUGUGUGUUCCAGGUAAAUCCGGUUCACUUUAACACUGAGGCGUGAUGACGAGGCACUACGGUGCUGAAGCAACAAAUGCCCUGCUUCCAGGAAAAGCCUCUAAGCAUCAGGUAACAUCAAAUCGUACCCCAAACCGACACAGGUGGUCAGGUAGAGAAUACCAAGGCGCUUGAGAGAACUCGGGUGAAGGAACUAGGCAAAAUGGUGCCGUAACUUCGGGAGAAGGCACGCUGACACGUAGGUGAAGUGAUUUACUCAUGGAGCUGAAGUCAGUCGAAGAUACCAGCUGGCUGCAACUGUUUAUUAAAAACACAGCACUGUGCAAACACGAAAGUGGACGUAUACGGUGUGACGCCUGCCCGGUGCCGGAAGGUUAAUUGAUGGGGUCAGCGCAAGCGAAGCUCCUGAUCGAAGCCCCGGUAAACGGCGGCCGUAACUAUAACGGUCCUAAGGUAGCGAAAUUCCUUGUCGGGUAAGUUCCGACCUGCACGAAUGGCGUAAUGAUGGCCAGGCUGUCUCCACCCGAGACUCAGUGAAAUUGAACUCGCUGUGAAGAUGCAGUGUACCCGCGGCAAGACGGAAAGACCCCGUGAACCUUUACUAUAGCUUGACACUGAACAUUGAGCCUUGAUGUGUAGGAUAGGUGGGAGGCUUUGAAGUGUGGACGCCAGUCUGCAUGGAGCCGGCCUUGAAAUACCACCCUUUAAUGUUUGAUGUUCUAACGUGGACCCGUGAUCCGGGUUGCGGACAGUGUCUGGUGGGUAGUUUGACUGGGGCGGUCUCCUCCUAAAGAGUAACGGAGGAGCACGAAGGUUGGCUAAUCCUGGUCGGACAUCAGGAGGUUAGUGCAAUGGCAUAAGCCAGCUUGACUGCGAGCGUGACGGCGCGAGCAGGUGCGAAAGCAGGUCAUAGUGAUCCGGUGGUUCUGAAUGGAAGGGCCAUCGCUCAACGGAUAAAAGGUACUCCGGGGAUAACAGGCUGAUACCGCCCAAGAGUUCAUAUCGACGGCGGUGUUUGGCACCUCGAUGUCGGCUCAUCACAUCCUGGGGCUGAAGUAGGUCCCAAGGGUAUGGCUGUUCGCCAUUUAAAGUGGUACGCGAGCUGGGUUUAGAACGUCGUGAGACAGUUCGGUCCCUAUCUGCCGUGGGCGCUGGAGAACUGAGGGGGGCUGCUCCUAGUACGAGAGGACCGGAGUGGACGCAUCACUGGUGUUCGGGUUGUCAUGCCAAUGGCACUGCCCGGUAGCUAAAUGCGGAAGAGAUAAGUGCUGAAAGCAUCUAAGCACGAAACUUGCCCCGAGAUGAGUUCUCCCUGAGACUUAGAGUCUCCUGAAGGAACGUUGAAGACGACGACGUUGAUAGGCCGGGUGUGUAAGCGCAGCGAUGCGUUGAGCUAACCGGUACUAAUGAACCGUGAGGCUUAACCUU